CGGCGGACGGGUGAGUAACGCGUGGGUAACCUGCCUCAUACAGGGGGAUAACAGUUAGAAAUGACUGCUAAUACCGCAUAAGACCACAGCACCGCAUGGUGCGGGGGUAAAAACUCCGGUGGUAUGAGAUGGACCCGCGUCUGAUUAGCUAGUUGGUAAGGUAACGGCUUACCAAGGCGACGAUCAGUAGCCGACCUGAGAGGGUGACCGGCCACAUUGGGACUGAGACACGGCCAA
rnacentral:rRNA from 1 species